rnacentral:rRNA from 1 species
GGAGGAAAGCAGGGGAUCGCAAGACCUUGCGCUUUAGGAGCGGCCGAUGUCGGAUUAGCUAGUUGGUAAGGUAAUGGCUUACCAAGGCGACGAUCAGUAGUUGGUCUGAGAGGACGGCCAGCCACACUGGGACUGAGACACGGCCCAGACUCCUACGGGAGGCAGCAGUGGGGAAUUUUGGACAAUGGGCGCAAGCCUGAUCCAGCAAUGCCGCGUGAGUGAAGAAGGCCUUCGGGUUGUAAAGCUCUUUCAGUCGAGAAGAAAAGGUUGUGACUAAUAAUCAUAACUCAUGACGGUAUCGACAGAAGAAGCACCGGCUAACUACGUGCCAGCAGCCGCGGUAAUACGUAGGGUGCGAGCGUUAAUCGGAAUUACUGGGCGUAAAGGGUGCGCAGGCGGUUCUGUAAGUCAGAUGUGAAAUCCCCGGGCUUAACCUGGGAACUGCGUUUGAAACUACAAAGCUAGAAGGG